GCAUAUCAAUAAGCGGAGGAAAAGAAACCAACCGGGAUUGCCCUAGUAACGGCGAGUGAAGCGGCAACAGCUCAAAUUUGAAAUCUGGCUCUUUUAGAGUCCGAGUUGUAAUUUGCAGAGGGCGCUUUGGCUUUGGCAGCGGUCCAAGUUCCUUGGAACAGGACGUCACAGAGGGUGAGAAUCCCGUACGUGGUCGCUGGCUAUUGCCGUGUAAAGCCCCUUCGACGAGUCGAGUUGUUUGGGAAUGCAGCUCUAAAUGGGAGGUACAUUUCUUCUAAAGCUAAAUAUUGGCCAGAGACCGAUAGCGCACAAGUAGAGUGAUCGAAAGAUGAAAAGCACUUUGGAAAGAGAGUCAAACAGCACGUGAAAUUGUUGAAAGGGAAGCGCUUGCAGCCAGACUUGCUUGCAGUUGCUCAUCCGGGCUUUUGCCCGGUGCACUCUUCUGCAGGCAGGCCAGCAUCAGUUUGGGCGGUAGGAUAAAGGUCUCUGUCACGUACCUCUCUUCGGGGAGGCCUUAUAGGGGAGGCGACAUACUACCAGCCUGGACUGAGGUCCGCGCAUCUGCUAGGAUGCUGGCGUAAUGGCUGUAAGCGGCCCGUCCUUGAAACACGGACC
rnacentral:rRNA from 1 species